rnacentral:rRNA from 1 species
GGUGGGGUCUAUGGCCAUACCACCUGAUCUUGUCUUAUCUCGGAAGCUAAGCAGGGUCGGGCCUGGUUAGUACUUGGAUGGCAGAAGCAAUUGGUGGGUGUUAUCU